UUUAGUCAGUUUAGUUUCAGUGGGUUUAGUUUUAGUCGGUUUAGGUUUAGUCGGUUUAGUUUUAGUCAGUUUAGUUUUAGUCGGUUUAGUUUUAGUCAGUUUAGUUUCAGUGGGUUUAGUUUUAGUCGGUUUAGUUUUGGUCGGUUUAGUUGGUUCAGCAUUGGUCGUUUUAGUCGGUUUAGUUUCAGUCAGUUUAGUUUUAGUGGGUUUAGGUUUAGUCGUUUUAGUCGGUUUAGUUUCAGUCGGUUUAGUUUUAGUCGGUUUAGUUUUGGUCGUUUUAGUCGGUUUAGUUUCAGUCGGUUUAGUUUUAGUCGGUUUAGUUUUGGUCGGUUUAGUUGGUUCAGCAUUGGUCGGUUUAG